CCUACGGGAGGCAGCAGUAGGGAAUCUUCCACAAUGGGCGAAAGCCUGAUGGAGCAACGCCGCGUGGGUGAAGAAGGUCUUCGGAUCGUAAAACCCUGUUGCUAGAGAAGAAAGUGCGUGAGAGUAACUGUUCACGUUUCGACGGUAUCUAACCAGAAAGCCACGGCUAACUACGUGCCAGCAGCCGCGGUAAUACGUAGGUGGCAAGCGUUAUCCGGAUUUAUUGGGCGUAAAGGGAACGCAGGCGGUCUUCUAAGUCUGAUGUGAAAGCCUUCGGCUUAACCGGAGUAGUGCAUUGGAAACUGGGAGACUGGAGUGCCGAAGAGGAGAGUGGAACUCCAUGUGUAGCGGUGAAAUGCGUAGAUAUAUGGAAGAACACCAGUGGCGAAAGCGGCUCUCUGGUCUGUAACUGACGCUGAGGUUCGAAAGCGUGGGUAGCAAACAGGAUUAGAUACCCCAGUAGUC
rnacentral:rRNA from 1 species